CUGAGUUUGAUCCUGGCUCAGGAUGAACGCUGGCGGCGUGCUUAACACAUGCAAGUCGAACGGUGAAGCCAAGCUUGCUUGGUGGAUCAGUGGCGAACGGGUGAGUAACACGUGAGCAACCUGCCCUGGACUCUGGGAUAAGCGCUGGAAACGGCGUCUAAUACUGGAUAUGAGCCCCUUCCGCAUGGUGGGGGUUGGAAAGAUUUUUUGGUCUGGGAUGGGCUCGCGGCCUAUCAGCUUGUUGGUGAGGUAAUGGCUCACCAAGGCGUCGACGGGUAGCCGGCCUGAGAGGGUGACCGGCCACACUGGGACUGAGACACGGCCCAGACUCCUACUGGGAGGCAGCAGUGGGGAAUAUUGCACAAUGGGCGGAAGCCUGAUGCAGCAACGCCGCGUGAGGGAUGACGGCCUUCGGGUUGUAAACCUCUUUUAGCAGGGAAGAAGCGAGAGUGACGGUACC
rnacentral:rRNA from 1 species